rnacentral:rRNA from 1 species
UACGUAGGGGGCAAGCGUUGUCCGGAAUCAUUGGGCGUAAAGAGCGCGUAGGCGGCCCUGUAAGUCCGCUGUGAAAGUCAAGGGCUCAACCCUUGAAUGCCGGUGGAUACUGCAGGGCUAGAGUCCGGAAGAGGCGAGUGGAAUUCCUGGUGUAGCGGUGAAAUGCGCAGAUAUCAGGAGGAACACCGAUGGCGAAGGCAGCUCGCUGGGACGGUACUGACGCCUGAGGC